AUCCAGAUGAUGAGUCUCAAAUAGGACGAAACGCACGUCCUGCAU
rnacentral:hammerhead_ribozyme from 1 species